AAGUUUGUAUCAAUUUAUUCUUUCCCUUAAGGAGCAUGAAUGUAUCCAUAACAUGCUAGAGGAAAAUAAGGAGUCUUCAGGGCUGCCAGUCUUGCAGUAAAGGCUGAGUGGUAGUAUGUCUCUCCUACAUUU
rnacentral:snoRNA from 1 species